rnacentral:rRNA from 1 species
GGAAUCUUGGACAAUGGGGGCAACCCUGAUCCAGCGACGCCGCGUGGGUGAUGAAGGCCUUCGGGUUGUAAAGCCCUUUCACCGGGGACGAUGAUGACGGUACCCGGCGAAGAAGCACCGGCUAACUCCGUGCCAGCAGCCGCGGUAAGACGGAGGGCGCGAGCGUUGUUCGGAAUCACUGGGCGUAAAGCGCGCGCAGGCGGGACUAGCAAGUCGGAAGUGAAAUCUUGGGGCUCAACUCCGAGGCUGCUUCCGAAACUGCGGACCUGGAGACUGGUAGAGGUGGGUGGAAUUCCCGGUGUAGCGGUGGAAUGCGUAGAGAUCGGGAAGAACACCGGUGGCGAAGGCGGCCCACUGGGCCAGUUCUGACGCUGAGGCGCGAAAGCGUGGGGAGCAAAC